rnacentral:rRNA from 1 species
CCUUCAAGAUCGGGAUAACUAGCCGAAAGGUUAGCUAAUACCGAGUAUGACCACGGCCAGUAUCGUCUGGUCGAGGUAAGAGCUGGGGACCGCAAGGCCUAGCGCUUGAAGAUGAGUCCGCGGCUGAUUAGCUAGUUGGCGGGGUAAUGGCCCACCAAGGCGACGAUCAGUAGCCGGCCUGAGAGGGCACACGGCCACACUGGCACUGAAACACGGGCCAG